rnacentral:tRNA from 1 species
GCCUGCAUAACUCAGUGGAAGAGCGUCUGUCUUGUAUACACAAGGUCUGUGGUUCGAUCCCUCAUGGAGACA